rnacentral:misc_RNA from 1 species
GUUUAAGAUGAUUUGGUCAUGUAUAACAUAGAGAAUCCAAUUCCCUAGUACAGAAGUGUGAUAGGCUAAUAGGAGAAGGAGAAGGAUAGGCAUAAGAUGACGUGAAAAGAAAUAGUAUCAAAGGAUUUACAAGUUCUAAAUAAUGAUGCAGACCUCGUGUCUAACAAAGCUAAAUAACGAAAAAUGAUCCAUAUAACCAAUCCCAACUAAUUUGGGAUUA